GUGCUCGCAUCAGCAGCACAUAUACAAAACUUGGAACAAUACAGAGAAGAUUAGCAUGGCCCCCGCACACGGAUGACAUGCAAAUCAUGAGGUGUUCCAUAUUCUU
rnacentral:snRNA from 1 species